rnacentral:lncRNA from 1 species
UCUCCCUCCCCCAAAGCCCCCUCCUCUGUUUUCACCCACACCAGCCCCUCCAUUUCUACUCCCUCUCCCCAGCCCUUGCUCCCUCACCUCCUAGUUUCUGAAUCGAAAUCACCUUGGCCUCCAGACGGGAAGCUACCUGGAGGCCCUUGGUGCCUUCCUGGGCAAUCCAAUCAGAGGUCAUUCUAGGAGCAGGAACCCUCAAGGGUGUUUUUCCCCCAGCUGUUGCUCUACUGCAAACAAGCAUUCUCAUUUUUGCCAGUUUCAAAUGCUGUGCGUCCUCAUCGCCAUCUGGAAUGGAACGGGCAUUCAUUUGUGCUCGAGCACGCAGCCCCCACACAUGCGUGUGCCUAUGGUUCCCUCCUGCAUCAUGCCCUUGGCUUGCUCUGGGGUUAAUGGCUUAUGAUUUGCCAAUUUGCAUGGAAUUCUCAGGAAAGAGAGACGUUGACCUAUCUGUUAACAUAGACCUCGGCCAUCUGUGACAAGGACAAGGCAGAGAAACCCGUCCUAAGAGUGUCUGUGUUGACUCUGCGAAGACUCCAACCUGGGAGUCAGGCAAAUGCUCCUUCUGUCUGCUGUGCCCAGGGCCUGGCUUGCUGCUCUGCUCUGCCCUCUCCGAAAGGACCUCCUGUGUGAUCUGGACCCUAGAAUACGGUGCCUAGGAUGAGAGAUGUGUGAAGGAGGAGAGCAAGGAAAGAGAAAAGAAAAGGAACAAUGAGAGAGACUAGAGAAUCAGGUCCCUUGUGAACUCAGGAACAAGGAUAACAGAAAAAAUGGUCAUUUAUACAUUUUAAUCAGGAGUUCAAAUCUUUCGGCUGAAAGUAAUAGAAACACAACUGUAAUUAGCUUGAGCCUCAAAGGGGACAAUGUUGGCUCACAGAAGCUGACCAUGGGGACAGCAGAGAGGGAACAACUGGGUUCAGGGAGUGGAUACCCUGGGGACUCAUCCUCUCCUCUUGGCUGUUAGUUCCCCCACAGCUCUCAGGGCUGUGCCAGAGGAGGGAGCUCUGCCCGCCAGCUCCAGGUAGAAGGUUCUGGCAAACAGCGACACCAUUUUUCCGUUGUCUGGUUUCAGAAAUGUUAAACCUUGAUACUCUCAACCAUUGGUGAAGGAAUGGGAAAACAGAGACCCUAAUGCUCUAAUAUACUGCUGGAGGGGGUACAAAUGGUCCCAACCACUUUGGGGAGAAAUUUGACUACCUAUUAUGAUUUUAAAUGUGGGUACUAUUGAUUUGAUGAUGCCACUUCUCAAAAUCCAGACCAGUAACUCUCACACAUGUGCAUAAGGAAAUAUAGGCAAGGAUGUUAUUUGAGGUGUUAUUUGUAGCACAAAAUUAGAAAUAACUAAUGUCCAUUUUUAUGGUAUAUUUCACACUCUGAAAAUAUGGAAACUGUUAAAAAGAAUGAAAUGUCUACUGACAUAAACCCCGAAGCUGUCUUGAUAAAUGAAAAAAAUAAUUUGCAGAAUGAUACAUACAAUAUGGUAUCACUCAAGCGUAAAUGAAAACAAAAACAAAAGCUUGAAAUAAUAAUAGAUAUGUCUACAUGUAUGUUUAUAACGUAUAUUUCUAAAUGUCUCCAAAUGCGUAGAAGACGGUCUGGUGAGGGACUGAGAUUAGGAGUGAGGAUUGAAGGAGACUGUCAGGUGUGAAUUUUUUCGGUGAUGACAUAUUUAUGUAUAGUUUCUGUAUUUAGAAUUAGAAUUUAAAAGGAAAAAGCUAUGGAAGCAUUCUGAUUGGUUCAACUUGGGUCACGUGACUGUUCCUAGCCCAAUCCAUGUGGCCAAGGGGCCUCUAGGGUUCUAUGACUGGCGCCAUCUGGGUUACCCACUCACCCCUGUGAACACUGGAGCAAUACCCAUGAUCGGCAGCUCCUACUAUCAUUACGUGUUAUAGUGGGGAGGGAGCAAUUACCCCAAAGAAGGGAGGUGCUGUGCUGGGGCAGACAAAAUGGUAAAUCUCCUCUAUAGUGAAAGCAUUUGGGC